CCUUGGAUGACCUCUUUACGGGGGGUCCCUGUAAACACAUUGUAAAUGGCCCAGUUUGUUUGCUGGAAACCGCCUUCUUUGAGAACUCUCUAGUUUUUGUUUCGGAGGGGCGCGGCGGCACGGCAGGUUCAGCUGGCGACUGCUGUGUGGCAAGUCUGGGGUUCGAGCCUUGCUUGGGGUGCCUUGCGACAGGCUGACGUCCCGUCCUCAGUGUGUCCUCCCCCCUCAGCCCUGCACCCUGCAUCGCUGGGGCUCAGCUGUAAAACCAGAGAUGAGGACGAGCGCUCGUUGGCGGUCCGUGACCUCAUUCCCGCUUUUCUCCCGGUGAAGGGCUGUCUGGCGAACAGCUCGAGCGGAACAAGUCGCACACGGGGUUGGGGUGCCCUGUGACAGACUGACAUUGCAUCCUGGAUGUGUCCACUCCCCCUCCAGCCUUAAGCCCUGUGUUGCCGGGUUAGGCUCCCGCUCCCUGCGACAAGUGGUUCAGAUGUGUGUCCG
rnacentral:lncRNA from 1 species